CUGGCUCAGGAUGAACGCUAGCUACAGGCUUAACACAUGCAAGUCGAGGGGCAGCAUUGGAGUAGCAAUACUCAGAUGGCGACCGGCGCACGGGUGAGUAACACGUAUCCAACCUGCCGCUUACUCGGGGAUAGCCUUUCGAAAGAAAGAUUAAUACCCGAUGGUAUAAAGAGUUCGCAUGUUCUCUUUAUUAAAGAAUUUCGGUAAGCGAUGGGGAUGCGUUCCAUUAGAUAGUUGGCGGGGUAACGGCCCACCAAGUCUACGAUGGAUAGGGGUUCUGAGAGGAAGGUCCCCCACAUUGGAACUGAGACACGGUCCAAACUCCUACGGGAGGCAGCAGUGAGGAAUAUUGGUCAAUGGGCGGGAGCCUGAACCAGCCAAGUCGCGUAGAAGGAAGAAGGAUCUAUGGUUCGUAAACUUCUUUUGCAGGGGAAUAAAGUGCAGGACGUGUCCUGUUUUGUAUGUACCCUGAGAAUAAGGAUCGGCUAACUCCGUGCCAGCCGCUGC
rnacentral:rRNA from 1 species